rnacentral:rRNA from 1 species
AUUGAACGCUGGCGGCAUGCUUUACACAUGCAAGUCGAACGGUAACAGCACUUCGGUGGCUGACGAGUGGCGAACGGGUGAGUAAUACAUCGGAACGUGCCUAGUAGUGGGGGAUAACUACUCGAAAGAGUAGCUAAUACCGCAUGAGAUCUAAGGAUGAAAACAGGGGACCUUCGGGCCUUGCGCUACUAGAGCGGCUGAUGGCAGAUUAGGUAGUUGGUGGGAUAAAAGCUUACCAAGCCGACGAUCUGUAGCUGGUCUGAGAGGACGACCAGCCACACUGGGACUGAGACACGGCCCAGACUCCUACGGGAGGCAGCAGUGGGGAAUUUUGGACAAUGGGCGCAAGCCUGAUCCAGCAAUGCCGCGUGCAGGAUGAAGGCCUUCGGGUUGUAAACUGCUUUUGUACGGAACGAAAAGCCCUCUUCUAAUACAGGAGGGUCAUGACGGUACCGUAAGAAUAAGCACCGGCUAACUACGUG